CCGGUUUUUAAAAAUUUCGAAGACAAAAGACUCACAAUCCCUAUCAUGCUCUCUUUCAAACUGCACAAAGCCCCAAAUGGCACUCCAAGAAAUCCAUACAACCAUCGUGUGUCAUACCUUCACCGACGAUUUUGUCGAUGCACAACCAAUCGUAUCUGGUCACGGUCGACGUCUAUUUUCAGAUGAGACCCUCGAAGUCGACGUCUCUUCAUUAACACAUUGAACUUUCAGAAAUCAAUUAUCC
rnacentral:lncRNA from 1 species